GACGAACGCUGGCGGCGUGCUUAACACAUGCAAGUCGAACGGAAAGGCCUCUUUCGGGGGGUACUCGAGUGGCGAACGGGUGAGUAACACGUGAGUAACCUGCCCUUGACUUUGGGAUAACUUCAGGAAACUGGGGCUAAUACCGGAUAGGAGCUCCUGCUGCAUGGUGGGGGUUGGAAAGUUUCGGCGGUUGGGGAUGGACUCGCGGCUUAUCAGCUUGUUGGUGGGGUAGUGGCUUACCAAGGCUUUGACGGGUAGCCGGCCUGAGAGGGUGACCGGCCACAUUGGGACUGAGAUACGGCCCAGACUCCUACGGGAGGCAGCAGUGGGGAAUAUUGCACAAUGGGUGGAAGCCUGAUGCAGCAACGCCGUGUGCGGGAUGACGGCCUUCGGGUUGUAAACCGCUUUCGCUCAUGACGAAGCUUUGUGUGACGGUAGUGGGUGAAGAAGCACCGGCUAACUACGU
rnacentral:rRNA from 1 species